rnacentral:rRNA from 1 species
GAAAGCAUCUAAGCAUGAAGCCCCCCUCAAGAUGAGAUUUCCCAACUUCGGUUAUAAGAUCCCUCGAAGAUGACGAGGUUAAUAGGUUCGAGGUGGAAGCGUGGUGACACGUGGAGCUGACGAAUACUAAUCGAUCGAAGACUUAAUCAAUUUUUAAA